rnacentral:ncRNA from 1 species
GAGCUUUGGAGAAUCCCGUGUUUUAAUCGGGUGCCGAAGGGGCAAGGCGGUUUUCCGCUAAUCUCUCAGGCAAAAGGACAAAGU